CUACACAUCCUGAGCCCCUGACACCGAAUCAUCUUCUGACGAUGAAAACCAACGUGCUGUUGCCGCCUCCAGGACACUUCCAACGAGAGGACUUGUACUCUAGGAAAAGAUGGAGGAGAGUUCAGCAUCUCGCGAACGAAUUCUGGAAGCGUUGGAAGCGAGAGUUUCUCCAGAGUCUCCAAUCACGUCAGAAAUGGACUUGCCCACAGCGUGAAACCCGUAUAGGUGAUGUCGUAAUAAUGAAAGACGACAAUCCAAGAAACCAAUGGACGCUAGCCAGAGUAGUUGAUGUUUACCCAUCCUCGGACAAUCAUGUGCGUAAGGUUAAAUUGGUGAUGGGUGACCCCAAGAUAAACAGUCGCGGGAAGCGAAUCUUCCAACAACGUUAUUUUGAACGACCAAUACAUAAGCUUAUCUUGUUAGUCGCGCAUGAAGACCAGGGGAAAUUCCCUGACAAGGAGCCACAAGGCUAGGGGGUUGAACUUGGUUGACAAGGAGCCACAAGGCUAGGGGGUUGAACUUGGUUGACAAGGAGCCACGAGGCUAGGGGGUUUAACUUAAUUAACCUAAAGUAAUAAUUGUUAUGUCCAAAUCGCCAUGUCUAGAGAUUGAGCCUGGCAUUGGAUAACAAGGAGCCAAGGGGUCUGAAUUAAGACUAAUUUAUGUUAUCAUUUGAUAUUGUUUAUUGUGUCUGAACUUGAAAAUAAUUUGAAUUUUCGCAGACAUUGUGUUUGAUAAAUGUGAUUUCAACCAAAAUUCUAAAGUCUGAAAGGGAGAAUACCUUCAAUUUUCUAAAUGCCGCUUUGUUUUAUGUAUAUGUAUACUGGUUUGAUCAUAAUGCUAGAGUCUGGAUGUAAGACUAAAUUGAAAUGUUUAAGGUUAAACAUGCUUUAUUUUCUGAAAAGGGUCAACUUGGAAUAUAAAACUAUUCCCUCGUUAGUAAAGGUAUAUCUGUGUCUGAGAUGAAAACUACAUCUAAGAGUCAAGUGAGACUAUUUAAGAUUAUUCAUUUCAGUGUAAACUUACUAGGGUCUGAAGUCAGACUUGUAACUUUGUGACAUUUCAUUUGUUUGCAAAUUGAAUUGUAGACAUAAGGUUGAUGCUCAUUAAACCAUAUCUAUGUGUCUGAUGCAAGACUAAGCAGUUAAUGUUAUUUAACAAAAAUUAUACAUGCAUAAAAUAAUUUUUAAGAUUAAGGGCUAAGACUAAUUUGAAACAAAAUUUGAAGUCAUGUAUUACUAUACAUGGAUGGUGUUUUGGUUACAGAGACAAAUUUAUGCAUUAGUUUAGAUUCUUGAUCUCUGAACGUCUGUUAUAAAGGGAUUAGAAUUGAACAUUAUAAGUUGUAAAACCAGUUAAACUUAUAGAUUGAAGCUAGUACAUGCAGCUAGUGAGUACAGCUAGAUGCAUUACAUUUACUUCUAGAUGUGCUUGGUAUAUAUACAAAGUUAGAAAUGUUAGUUCUGUAGAACAAGUAAGAAUUAUCGCAGGUAUGUCAAAUAGUUUAUUAUGGUAAAUUAGUUGUACUAAUUUAAAGGAGCCAUGUAAGUGUAUUUGAUUUAGUCGACCAAAAGGUUAGAGCGCCAUCUUCGGCGACAGACUUUUAUAGACAGAGUUUCAAAGUCAAACAAUGAUCAAUGAAGAACAAUGAGAAAUUGAUGAUUAAUUGCAACAUAUUCUUAGCUGCAGACAAGUUAAUUGACUAAAAGGAGGCAAGAAGUUUUCACGGAGUGAAAAGAACAGAGUUAAAAGAAAGGAGUCAAAGAAAGGAAGCUACGCUCCUACCAAAGAAUAAAAGAACACUCCCGUAAAAA